UUCCACAGCAGUCACUGACUGACUCAGUGAGAGAUGUCAGAGAAGGUAUUUUAUUUCACUCAUUGGUUAUUAUAUUUUAUUAAGUGUCUGUUAGAGAUGCGCCGACGUAUAGUCAUCAAUGUGCUGAUGGAUCGUCGUAUGAUGUAGAUUUCAAUUCGUAUCUUAUCACCUUUUUCCUACGUUAAUUAUAGGAGGAACCCCAUUCCUAACUCUUUAAAUAUUUAAUUUCCUUUGGGUCAGUCAUCAUGGCUCCUUUCCGUACACAUUUAUCGUUUAAAUUGCAUUCGUUUUUAAUAUAAUACGACGUUUAUUGACAGAACGAGCUAAUACUCGACGUCUUGUUUAUAUUCAGAAUUCACGGAAGUUACUGCUGGAAGGGAGACAUCUCGAAACGAUAAUAUGGAAGACUCCAUUUCGCCUGAAGGGGUGUUCUACGAUGUGGAAUAUAUUUAUUUUAAUCUAAAUGAUGCACAUGAUUUAAAAUUAUGCAACAACAAUAACCCUCAAUAGCAGACAUACAUAGAAAAGAUCCCAUGAGUUAUAAAUUAAUUAAUUGAGUGGGGAAUCCAGAGCAACCAUUCAAUCUAAAACCCCUUCAAGUCAAGAAAACUAUACGCAUGCGCAUAAUUUCCAAAUCAAACCCUGGGGCAAGAUAUAUCAAAUGCUUAUUAAACGACCUAGAUGGUUCUCAAUUUCUUUAUGGAAGCACAAUCUCAAAUAUCAGUUUCAUAACGGUAACAUAUAGGAAAAACUCCACUUCAGUUCUUAUAUGACAGAAAUAGAUUUAUCGGUAUUCAGAGAACUCUCGCAUUUUAUCAAAACUGGGAAUUCCCUCUGACGUAUUU
rnacentral:lncRNA from 1 species